AGUGACCAAUCAUCGCUUAUUAUUCCAUUCUUGUAGCCACACAUUUGUCUCCUAGAAACCCUAGCAUUGUUGCGUGUUCUCUUGCCAUUUCCCUGGGUAAUCGCAGAGUCGCAGCCCUUACUUCGACCUCUUUCUACGACUACUCGCUUGCGAAACAGACGAACUCGAGCUAAGAAUCGGACUUGAUAUGAAGACUCUGCUCAUACUCGUCCUGGCAUGUCUGCUGACCGUUUUUGUCAGUGGGCGCUUUCUUCCGCAAGCUGCCUUCGACAACACGGCGUAUGAGGAGUGUAUGAUGAACUGUGAAACAGAGUAUAACAACUGCUUCAGCAACUGCAAUGGAGACGUGCAUUGCAGUGAAGCGUGCUCCAACGACAGGCAGCGGUGCGAGACGGGAUCUGACGAACGUGACGAGACCAAACCUUACUACAAACGCAAUUCAGACAAAAGCUGCAACGAUUUACAAGAAUAUUCCAGAGAUUACAAAAAAGAAAAGGAGCCAGCUUUUGAAAUAAGCUACGAUACUUUGUACCAGUAACUUGCAAUAAGGGAUUGUAGAAGAGGGGGACUAAAACACUAGGCAUGCAACUCCUGAGACACGUCAUAUCGUCGAGAUGAUUGACAAAUGUUCUUUCUAACUUUGUAGAGUAGUUUUAUAGAUUUUAGUUUGUGCAGUACUUUAUACGGUGUUCAAUAUCAAUUUGAUAUUAAGCUAUUUUUUAGUGGAAGGCAGCUAUUGAUUAGAAUAAUCACAAGUCUUGUAACGAAGAUAAAAUGGAAUAAAUAAUUGAGUUCA